UACGUAGGUGGCAAGCGUUGUCCGGAAUUAUUGGGCGUAAAGAGCUCGUAGGCGGUCUGUCACGUCGGAUGUGAAAACUCGGGGCUCAACCCCGAGCCUGCAUACGAUACGGGCAGACUUGAGUUCGGCAGGGGAGACUGGAAUUCCUGGUGUAGCGGUGAAAUGCGCAGAUAUCAGGAGGAACACCGGUGGCGAAGGCGGGUCUCUGGGCCGAUACUGACGCUGAGGAGCGAAAGCGUGGGGAGCGAACAGG
rnacentral:rRNA from 1 species